CAGUCGCCGCGGUAAUACAGAGGGUGCAAGCGUUAAUCGGAGUUACUGGGCGUAAAGGACGCGUAGGCGGUUAUAUAAGUGAGAUGUGAAAUCCCUGGGCUUAACCUAGGAACUGCAUCUUAUACUGUAUGGCUAGAGUAUUGUAGAGGGUAGUGGAAUUUCCGGUGUAGCGGUGAAAUGCGUAGAGAUCGGAAGGAACACCAGUGGCGAAGGCGGCUACCUGGACAAAUACUGACGCUGAGGCGCGAAAGCGUGGGGAGCAAACAGGAUUAGAUACCCCAGUAGUCCCUGUCUCUUAUAA
rnacentral:rRNA from 1 species